UGUGCCAGCAGCCGCGGUAAUUCCAGCUCCAAGGGCGUAUGCUAAUGCUGUUGCUGUUAAAAAGUUCGUAGUUGGAUUUGGAUCGACUCUGUAUCGGAAAGCCACCUGCUGUCCUCGUGAUGGUGCGGUGUGCUGACUGUUACGCUUGGAGGCUAUCAUAUCGACCAAACGGUUGUUGACUGUCUGUUCCGGAUUGACUCUGUCAGAAACGAAUUGCGGUCGCUACAAUGGCCUUUGGUUGUGACACCGAGAACAAAACAGCGUGCUCAAGGCAUCUGCGUAGAUGAUAAAGCUUGUCAUGUCAAGGAACCGACCGGUUGGCUCGUCAUUUGCUGGUUUGUGCAGCCGAAACGGGGAAUGUGACUUGUGUAUGAUGUUUGUCAGCUGGACUGUGUUGUAACCCUCGGGUUGUGGCACUGCUCUGGCUUUCAAAAUCCAUGCUGGGUCAGCGAUAUUAACAGAGGUCAAUGGAGCAGUCAGUAUUCAGUGACGAGGGGUGAAAUCCUUAGACUCACUGAAGACUAACCGAGGCGAAGGCAUUCUGCUAAGCGGCCUUCAUUAAUCAAGAACUAGAGUGCAGGGAUCGAAGAUGAUUAGAAACCAUCGUAGUCUGGCACUGUAAACUGUGCAAACCAUGGAUCAGUCGUGGGUGCAACGCUGCUUCUGUCACGUUGCGGGCAAUUUGUACUCCUCACCAUGUGGUGAUAUUUUCAUUCUGUCUUCAUACUACCGCGAAAGCUGAGUAUUCCUGUUCAGGGGGAAGUACAUUCGCAAGUGUGAAACUUAAAGGAAUUGACGGAACGACACCACCAGGUGUGGAUGCUGCGGCUUAAUUUGACUCAACACUGCGCAUGUUACCAGAUCAUUAGGUAUGGAGGAUCGACAGAUUGACAGCUCUUUCCCGAUUAUGCUAAGGGUGGUGCAUGGCCGCUCCUGGUUGGUGGAGUGAUUUGUCUGGUUGAUUCCGGUAACGAACGAGAUCCCGGCCCCUCGAUUGUGGAGGAAAAGUGACUGCAUUCCAUCGGCGUGUAACUAGAGACCCUCUUCUUUGAGGGCCUUCUGGUGAGAUGGAACCCAAACGCUCGAGGACAGUGUGUAAACUCGGAUCAAUAUUUUUAUGCAGCACACCGAAGUGGAGGGUCAAUAGCAGGUCUGUGAUGCCCA
rnacentral:rRNA from 1 species